ACCCAUGUGGCCUAAUGGAUAGGGCGUCUGCCUCCUAAGUAGAAGGGUGAGGAUUCGAGUCCCGCCGCGGGUG
rnacentral:tRNA from 1 species